UACGGGGGGGGCAAGCGUUGUUCGGAAUUACUGGGCGUAAAGGGUUCGUAGGUGGCCAACUAAGUCAGACGUGAAAUCCCUCAGCUUAACUGGGGAACUGCGUCUGAGACUGGAUGGCUUGAGUGCAGGAGAGGAACGCGGAAUUCCAGGUGUAGCGGUGAAAUGCGUAGAUAUCAAGAGGAACACCUGCGGCGAAGGCGGGUUGCUGGGCCGACACUGACGCUGAGGCGCGAAAGCUAGGGGAGCGAACGGG
rnacentral:rRNA from 1 species